UGAUCCAAUCUCCUUUAAUAGCGGCUGUGGCCUUCCAGUUGAAUUCUAACACUCAAAUGGGGCUGACUCGGAGCAAGCCAAAGAGCAUGUUUUCGCAAGCAAAAUGGAGGCGCGAGGAUCUGGAAUUCACUGGAAACCCAGGACAGAUCAGGUUGGACCUGCAUGGAAGAGCCCUUGCCUGAAUUACAGAAUUAAGCCCUGCAAAGACCUUCCCUUCUACCCACAAGCCCUGGCCCUGGAUGACUUGAAGUCUUCUCCAGAUGAUUCAGCAUAUUCCCGGCCUUUCUCUGCGCAGAGGUGAUUUAUCGUGAGCUCUGCGGGGCCUGCCGAGGGUG